rnacentral:rRNA from 1 species
UCGCUGCCCGGGACUGAGCCAUUUCGAGAAACUUGGGGACUGUCGAUUGUCGGUGCGUUCGCAUCGCCUUUCGUUAGAAACCAAUUUAAUCGCAGUGGCUUGAACCGGGCAAAAGUCGUAACAAGGUAGCUGUAGGUGAACCUGCUGCUGGAUCAUUAC